CCUCUCUCUCUCCAGCCCAUAGGAAUAGAAUUACUGUACUAUUCUAAUUCUAGUAAUUCCCCUGCUAUACCCAGGCCACUGAUUAUGAUUAGUGGUAGUCAUGCGUUAGGAAAAACAGUGAUCUGCAAUGUUCUGGACGAUGAGCCACUUACUUCCAGAGAUCAACUGGCGAAAAAGCUGGUUUAUCCUCUAACUCUCUACCCUCUGAACGAUGCCCCUGGCUUGCUCCACCACGUGAUCACAUUCACCACAGCAGCACUGGAGAGACGGGAAAGAGAGAGAGGGAGACAGAGAGUAGCACUGAAUAGAGGGGGGGAGUGGGAAGAGCGAGUGGGAGGGAGAGAGAGAGAGAGGGGAGAGACAGAGAUCAGCGCUGGAUAGAGAGAGAACAGAGUGCUCCAAGUGAAAGUAACGGAAUAGAUGUUCACUGCUCCUCUCUUUCCUUAAUCCCCAUGUUUAUGGGUUCAGCCCUCUCUGUAUGUAACCCCUCCCCCACUGUGUUAUCGCUGUGUAUCAUCACUGUGGCAUUUAGUUUAUUUAAUACCUUGCUCCUGCCCGUCCCUGCCUGACUGGCUGUAAAUAUGGUAACUGGCACACUGACCAAACUGCAGCUAAAGCCACUUCUUGAAAUUGUCUGUCACACUAUUCCCUAUUUAGUGCACUGCUUUUUACCAGAGCCCUCUGGCACCCUAUUCCCUAUUUAGUGUCCUGCAUUUUACCAGAGCCCUCUGGCACCCUAUUCCCUAUUUAGUGUCCUGCAUUUUACCAGAGCCCUCUGGCACCCUAUUCCCUAUUUAGUGUCCUGCAUUUUACCAGAGCCCUAUGGGAUUGCAAACAUGGUGACUGGCCCACUGUCGAGGCUUCAGCAACUUCCUGAAAUUGUACUUCUGUUUCCAUGUUGCAUUAUUGUCCUGGGAGGAAUUACAUUUCAGGAAGUUAUCUUUAAAAAAAAAAAAGUAUUACUUUCAUAACGUGGUUUUACCCGAGUGACUUUUUCAUUACCGCCCCUGCUAUUGACAUACAGCAGUUUUGUCGGUUUGUGUGUAUGUCUCCUGUUGUGUUAGUGUGCCACUACCCAACCACUGUAACAUGGCGUUAUUGUGCUGUUAAUAAACACUUCGUUUACUGCUUUAAUGACCACCGUCUGUUCUGUUCUUCAUUUGUAUUUACUGUUUCGUUUUUU
ensembl:lncRNA